UUUCUAGACGAGCCAUUCUGUUCAGGUUGUUUGCUAACAGGUCGUUAUUUUCAGAUGCCCCAAGUGUGCACAGCUGAAGCUCCCCCGUGAAGCUGCUGCUUUCUGGUGAGUUGCAUGCUCCUUUUUCUUCCCACAUUUUUGUACUGCGAUAAACCCAAUGAAGAUUUUCAGUUGUUCUAUAGGUGUUGCUCGUUUCACAGCUGGCAUGAACUAUAAUUUAUCAUGAAGCCCUUGAAUUGAUACCAAUACUUCUAAGCAGAGUUCUGAAUGACCUUGUAAAAAUGUCUAGAGUUUUACCUAAUUGUUGGC
rnacentral:lncRNA from 1 species